AAUUUAUCAAAACCCAAUUUUGACCCUAAAAUUAAUUAUUUUCCUCUUCUCAAUUUGCCCUAAUCUACCGAUUCUCUCAGGUUCAGCCAAUUCACUCUCUGGCCGGCUGCUUGUUCACCGGAAACACCCAACUCAAACUCACUGGAGUUGCUGAUGAUGAGCCCUCUGUUGGAGCAGAUCCAUGGUCAAAUUAAGGACAAUUUUCGUGCUCUUUCCUUGCAUUUCACCAAAGAGCUCUAGGUCAAAUGGUAUAAGCGCUUGGUAGCAUUUUGCCAAGGUGGUGGGUUCUAUUACUUCCACAGGCUCUCCCCUUCCCCAAUUAUAAAAAGAAAAAAAAACAGUAGCUUUCACUUCUAAAGCUGCACUCUUUAAUUCCCAAAAACUUACUCUGAUUGCAGAGCAGCUUUCUUUAAUUAAUGGUUGAACCAAUGGCUCCACUUCGCACCUCUGCGACUGUUGAUCCUGGAUGGGACCAUGGUGUUGCACAAGAUGAGAGGAAGAAAAAGGUCAAAUGUAACUAUUGUGGGAAGGUAGUUAGUGGUGGUAUAUACAGGUUAAAGCAACAUUUGGCUAGAGUCUCCGGCGAGGUCACUUACUGUGACAAGGCUCCCGACGAAGUUUACCUUCGAAUGAAAGACAAUUUGGAGGGAAGCCGUUCCAUCAGAAAAGCUAAACACUCUCAAGAUGAUGGGCAUGCUUAUUUUCAUUACCCGUACGACGAUGAAGAAGAGCAUGCUGGCUUCAGAAGCAAAGGGAAACAGUUAAUAGGUGAUGCUAGUUUGGCUGUAAAUUCGGCACAAGUGCGAUCACUGGGUUAUGUUGAUCCUGGAUGGGAACAUGGUGUUGCACAAGAUGAGAGGAAGAAAAAGGUUAAAUGUAAUUAUUGCGAGAAAGUGGUUAGUGGAGGUAUUAACCGAUUUAAACAGCAUAUAGCUCGAAUUCCUGGAGAAGUAGCACCAUGUAAAAAUGCCCCGGAGGAAGUAUACCUCAAAAUUAAAGAAAACAUGAAGUGGCACCGUACUGGCAGGCGACCUAGACAGCCUGAGACCAAGCUUUUAUCUACUUUCUACAAGCAAUCCGAUAAUGAAGAUGAAGAAUAUGAGCAAGAACACGAUGCCCCUCUUCAUAUGAGCAAGGAAAGACUGGUACUUGGUGAUAAAAGAUCGGCCAAGGAUUUGAGAACGACUUACAAGGGGGUAUCUUCCAGCAAUGGAUCGGAACCCUUACUCAAAAAGUCAAGGUUGGAUUCUGUUUUCCUUAAUGUGCCAAAUAGUCUAAUGACAACUUCUUGCAGGCAAUUAAAGGUCAAAACUAGGUCCAAUAGGAAAUCACGCAAGGAAGUAAUUUCUGCAAUUUGCAAGUUCUUUUACCAUGCAGGAAUUCCAUUACAAGCUGCAAACUCACUGUACUUCCAUAAGAUGCUGGAAUUGGUUGGCCAGUACGGACAUGGUUUUGUUGGUCCUCAGAGCCAUGUGAUAUCUGGCCGCUUUUUACAGGAGGAAAUUGCAACUAUCCGAAACAAUCUAUUUGAGCACAAGGCUGCCUGGGCAAUCACUGGUUGCUCUAUAAUGGCUGAUAGUUGGAUGGAUAAUGAAGGUAGGACAUUGAUCAAUCUCUUAGUUUCUUGCCCCAAUGGUAUGUACUUUGUUGCUUCAGUCGAUGCCAGUAAUAUGCUAGAAGACGCUUUAAGCCUGUUCAGGCUAUUGGAUAAAGUGGUGGAAGAGAUGGGUGAAGAAAAUAUAGUGCAGGUAGAAGCCAACUCUGCUCAUUCAAAUCCUCUGGGAGCUCGCCAUACGAAGUGUUAUAAGGCUGCUGGGAAGAUGCUUCAGGAGAAGAGAAGCAAUUUAUUCUGGACGCCGUGUGCCGUGCAUUGUAUUGACCAAAUCCUUGAAGAUUUUCAUAAGAUCAAAAGUGUAGAAGAGUGUAUGGUGAAAGGCCAAAGGAUAACAAAACUUAUUUACAACUGUAUCUGGUUGCUAAAUCUUAUGAAAGAAUUUACACAGGGGCAGGAACUUCUGAGGCCAUCUGCUACUCGAUGGGCAUCUAGCUUUGCAACUUUGCAGAGCUUGCUGGAUCACAGGACUAGUUUAAGAAGAAUGUUCCAAUCAAGUAAAUGGACUUCCUCUAGGUACUCCAAAUCAGAUGAGGGAAAGGAGGUAGAAAAAAUGGUAGCAAAUGCUACAUUUUGGAAGAAGGUGCAAUAUGUUUGUAAAUCAGUAGACCCGGUGAUUCAAGUGCUUCAAAAGGUACAUAGUGAUGAAAAUCCAUCAAUGCCAUACUUGUACAAUGACAUCUGUAGGGCAAAACUUGAAAUCAAAUCCAUUCAUGGAGAUGAUGGACGUAAGUAUGGACCAUUCUGGAAAGUACUUGAGAAUCAGUGGAACUCAUGGUUGCACCACCCGUUGUACAUGGCCGCAUACUUCCUGAAUCCAUCAUAUAGAUAUCGUUCUGAUUUUUUGGCGCACUCAGAGGUAAUGCGUGGACUAAAUGAAUGCAUACAUCGGCUGGAGCCAGACAAUCUGAGAAAGAUUUCCGCAUCCAAGCAGAUUUCUGAUUAUAAUUCUGCAAAAGGCGAUUUUGGAACUGAAUUGGCAGUUAGCACAAGAACAGAGCUUGACCCAGCUGCAUGGUGGCAACAACAUGGAAUAAGCUGCUUAGAUCUGCAACAAAUAGCUGUGCGUGUGUUGAGUCAGACAUGUUCCUCAUCUGGUUGUGACCAUUCCUGGAGCACAUAUGAUCAGAUCCAUGGUCAGAGACAGAACCGUUUUGCUCAGAAAAAAUUAGAUGACCUAGUAUUUGUUCAUUACAACCUGCGACUUAGAGAACGCCAAUUGAGGAAAAGAUCUGGCAGCUCAAUGUCCCUGGAUGGCGUGUCGGCGGAACGCUUGCUAAAUGACUGGAUUGUGGAAGAAGAGAAACAUUCGUUUCAAGCAGAUGAGGAAAUCCUUUACGAUGAAAAUGGAGAGAUGUAUGAAGAGGGAGGUGAGAAUGAUUUGUUGGAUUAUGAUGGAAUUCUGGAUCAUCAGAAGGGAACUACUACUCCUGAGCCAGUGACUACAGCUGAUGUUGAAGCUUUGGAUGUUAAUCCAAGUAAUGGCGGCGGCACAACUGAGGAUGAUGAGGACGAGGAAGAGGAGGAGGAGGAGGAUGAGAAUGACAACUUUUUUGAUGAUAAUAUGAGUGAUUAAAUGUAGGUAAACGAGUGGUAUUGUCUGAAAGGAAAAACCUUUUUACUAAUCUCUAGUGAAUGUUAGUAAAAUAUUAGUGGAGUGGAUUACUGUAAAAAUUGUUGUUACCUCUGAUGUUGUGAGUAUAUAUAUACAAGUGGUUGACUGCAGAAGACGAAAACCAAGGCUGCUUGUUUAGUUUGUGUGAUUAUUAACCCCAACAACAAAGAUAUUAGGGACAUUUCUGGAUUGGCACUUCCAGCUCCAGCAAGAAGGCUGUUGUAUAUUAGGGAUCCAGAACAUUAUGCAAACUCAAUGUUUAUGGGUUUCUGUUGAGAGUGUAGUGGCUAGGGACUAGGGUUGUAUUAUCUCUUUCCUACAUCUCUGUCACUGUAAACAUGGCCUUUUGUACUGUUUUGAAUGCUAUUGUUAAGCCAUACAAACGCCUACCUUGUCAUUUUGA